rnacentral:rRNA from 1 species
GUCCAAGCUAGGUUCUACUGGGAUGGCAAGGGCGAUAAGCAGAAAUACCACAUGGUCCACUAGACUAACAUCUGCAAGCCCCGGGACCAAGGUGGUCUCGGCAUCAUGUCCUCCAAACGCAUGAACCUGGCCCUCCUCACUAGAUGGUUGUGGCGCAUUGCUAACGGCGAUGGUGGAUUGUGGCUGUAGAUCAUCCGCCGCAAAUACCUGCGCGACCAGCCCCUCGCCUUCUGCGUUAGGACGGGCGGUUCCUAG